rnacentral:rRNA from 1 species
CCUACGGGACGCAGCAGUGAGGAAUAUUGGUCAAUGGGCGCGAGCCUGAACCAGCCAAGUCGCGUGAGGGAAGACGGUCCUAUGGAUUGUAAACCUCUUUUGUCGGGGAGCAAAAGACGCCACGUGUGGCGUUCCGAGAGUACCCGAAGAAAAAGCAUCGGCUAACUCCGUGCCAGCAGCCGCGGUAAUACGGAGGAUGCGAGCGUUAUCCGGAUUUAUUGGGUUUAAAGGGUGCGCUGGCGGUCCGGAAAGUCAGCGGUAAAAGCCCGGGGCUCAACCCCGGCGAGCCGUUGAAACUGUCGGAC